rnacentral:lncRNA from 1 species
GAGCAUUCUUUACACAUGGCUAAAAAAACAGACAGGCAGAGGGGACAGGGGCCAAGUCCUUCCUGUAGAGUUCAUGCUGACAGGUCGCUGUUAUCAAAUCUCUCCUGGUCGUACACCUCUGCCACCACCUUCCUGCCAGCAAACCAGCGCCCGUUCAGAGCCUGAAUGGCUUUGUGAGUCUCUGAGGCCAUGGAGAAUUCCACAAAGAUCUUGACAAUGAUCUCAGCAUCCUCCUCUUCUCCCUGCUUCUCCUGGUAGAUGAUGACCCUGUUUACGGCCCCAAAUUUGCCACACUCUUCCGUCACUUCUCCCUCCAGGUCAUCAUCAAUGUCCUUUGGAUCCACCAUGUUGCGAAGCACCAUCACAGUGGACUCCUGUUUACGAAGCAGUUUCUGCAUCACCAUGUGACGGGCACUGCUGCCAGAUAUGCUCAUGUGUUCCUGUUCACUCAGCAUCUCCGGCCUCUCGGAUUCCUGGAACACCUCCUCCUCUUCCUUCUCCUUCUUGUUGUGGGAUCCCUGGCUAGCGUGCAGGAUUUGAUCUUUCCGAAGGCCUCAAACACACUCUUGAUGUCAUCAUCUGACAGGUCCUGAUGGACAGAAGCCACGUAGAUGCGGUUGAAGGCCCGUGCCUCUUCUGCUAGUUGGUCUAUAAUUGGUUGUGCCUGUCCUAUAUUGCUCGGUCUCCCCACCUUUAUAUUCCUU